GGUGAGAUGGCCGAGCGGUCUAAGGCGCCAGCUUAAGGUGUUCAAUCAUUGCACGCUGGUCCUCCGGGGCGUGGGUUCGAAGUAUGUUCAACCGUUCAUCA